rnacentral:lncRNA from 1 species
AUACAUUUUUAACCUCUCACAAAGCAGAAAAAGACUCAACGUUGCCAAGAGGGGUUGUGUUUAUAUUGUGCAAAAGCUAAGCACACUACUCAAUAUUGUUCAAAAAAGCAAGACAAUUACACAAUGAGGAGCACAAUUACCAAAGAAGAUAAUGUGUCGAAAAACAAGUUUCUCCAGCUACAAUAGGGACCAUGCGGCUGGAAUCAUGUGCAAUACCUAGUAAAGAUCUUGUCCUCUCUUCAGACCCCUC